UACGUAGGUGGCAAGCGUUAUCCGGAUUUAUUGGGCGUAAAGGGAACGCAGGCGGUCUUUUAAGUCUGAUGUGAAAGCCUUCGGCUUAACCGGAGUAGUGCAUUGGAAACUGGGAGACUUGAGUGCAGAAGAGGAGAGUGGAACUCCAUGUGUAGCGGUGAAAUGCGUAGAUAUAUGGAAGAACACCAGUGGCGAAAGCGGCUCUCUGGUCUGUAACUGACGCUGAGGGUCGAAAGCGUGGGUAGCAAACAGG
rnacentral:rRNA from 1 species